rnacentral:rRNA from 1 species
CCUACGGGAGGCAGCAGUCGAGAAUCAUUCACAAUGGGGGAAACCCUGAUGGUGCGACGCCGCGUGGGGGAAUGAAGGUCUUCGGAUUGUAAACCCCUGUCAUGUGGGAGCAAAUUAAAAAGAUAGUACCACACUAUGAAGAGCCUGCUAACUCUGUGCCAGCAGCCGCGGUAAUACAGAGGUCUCAAGCGUUGUUCGGAAUCACUGGGCGUAAAGCGUGCGUAGGCUGUUUCGUAAGUCGUGUGUGAAAGGCGCGGGCUCAACCCGCGGACGGCACAUGAUACUGCGAGACUAGAGUAAGGGAGGGGGAACCGGAAUUCUCGGUGUAGCAGUGAAAUGCGUAGAUAUCGGGAGGAACACUGGUGGCGAAGGCGGGCUGCUGGACAGUAACUGACGCUGAGGCACGAAGGCGAGGGGAGCAAAAGGGAUUAGAUACCCGUGUAGUC